AUUGAACGCUGGCGGCAUGCCUUACACAUGCCAGUCGAACGGUAACGGGCCUUCGGGUGCCGACGAGUGGCGGACGGGUGAGUAAUACAUCGGAACGUGCCCGAUCGUGGGGGAUAACGAGGCGAAAGCUUUGCUAAUACCGCAUACGAUCUACGGAUGAAAGCAGGGGACCGCAAGGCCUUGCGCGGACGGAGCGGCCGAUGGCAGAUGAGGUAGUUGGUGGGAUAAAAGCUUACCAAGCCGACGAUCUGUAGCUGGUCGGAGAGGAUGAUCAGCCACACUGGGACUGAGACACGGCCCAGACUCCUACGGGAGGCAGCAGUGGGGAAUUUUGGACAAUGGGCGCAAGCCUGAUCCAGCCAUGCCGCGUGCAGGAUGAAGGCCUUCGGGUUGUAAACUGCUUUUGUACGGAACGAAAAGCCUUCUUUUAAUACAGGAGGGUCAUGACGGUACCGUAAGAAUAAGCACCGGCUAACUACGUG
rnacentral:rRNA from 1 species